CUAAUGAUCAAAGGGUUUCAAAAUUUAUAAUUUUAAUGGUAGAUAUAAGGCAUUUUCUCAUUUAACGGUGUAAAGCUAUCCAAAUCAAUAGAAUUUUGGUUAGAAAAUUCUUUAAACUAUUUAGAACAAGAUCUAUACUCUCGAUCUUGAUUACAAAAUUUCUAUCAUCACUUUUUAGAGGAUAUUCAUUUUCAACCUUUCAUUUUUACGUCUACUUGAUGAACAAGAGUAUAUCGAAAAAGAAUGAAAUUUGAUUUCUAGAUACUUCAAGUAGUGUAGAUCAUGUUCAACAUGCCGAUCGUCGAUUUGGAGGCUCCAUCAUCGAAAACAAAUGAGUGGCAACGGAGCUCGUUUGCUACCGACAGUAUUCCAACUCAACUAUAUAUAUUGUGUGUUUGGUUCGAAGUCAGAAUUGGUAUCCGAAUCGGAAUGAGAAUAAGCUGAAAAUGAAAUCGAAAUGAUUCUAUACCUCAUUCUGCUUGGUUCGCCACCUGAAUCAAAAUUGAAAUGAAUCAUUCCCAUUGUUGGUAUUUAGUUCAGAUAGAUAUCAGAAACGUAAUGAAAUUAAUAUGUCAAUUUUAUCUUUAUAAUAUAUUGGUUUAAAUUCAAACUAAAAAUUAAAUUUUAAAAAUUUACGUCAAAAAUUUAAAAUAAUAUCAAAAUUUUAAAUAUAUUUUUUAAAAAAUUAAAUUUGAAAUUGAACGGAUAAUUCAAAAUAUAAAACUAAAUUUUGAUUUAUUCAAAUUCAAACUUAAAAUUAUAAUUUAAAUUUGAAUUCAUAAAUUUAAUUUAAAUUUUAAAUAAAAUUUGAAUAAAACUUUAGAUUCUAAAUUAAAUUUCAAUUUAAUUUCAAAUUUAUAAAUUAGAUUCGAAAUGCUUGUUUGAAUUGUAAUUUUUAAUUUAAACUCAAAUUAAAAUUAAAAUUUAUAAAUAUAAUUUUUUAACUUAAACUUAUGUUUUAAUUAAAAAUAAGUUUAAAAAAGUUAAAUUUAAUCCGAACAAAUCCAUUCCAUCCAGAUUCAAUUUUCAAUCCAGCCUUCAAGGCUGGAUUGGAAAGAAGUAAUUGGGGGGAUUCCUAUUCAUCCGGAAAUCGGAAUCGGUAUGAAAAUUCCGCAUACCAAACACGAACAAAUCGAUUCGUCCAUUCCGACUCCGAUUCCUAAGUGAAAAAGGGGCGAACCAAACAC
rnacentral:lncRNA from 1 species